rnacentral:rRNA from 1 species
GGGGUGCCUAAUACAUGCAAGUCGAGCGGACAGAUGGGAGCUUGCUCCCUGAUGUUAGCGGCGGACGGGUGAGUAACACGUGGGUAACCUGCCUGUAAGACUGGGAUAACUCCGGGAAACCGGGGCUAAUACCGGAUGGUUGUUUGAACCGCAUGGUUCAAACAUAAAAGGUGGCUUCGGCUACCACUUACAGAUGGACCCGCGGCGCAUUAGCUAGUUGGUGAGGUAACGGCUCACCAAGGCAACGAUGCGUAGCCGACCUGAGAGGGUGAUCGGCCACACUGGGACUGAGACACGGCCCAGACUCCUACGGGAGGCAGCAGUAGGGAAUCUUCCGCAAUGGACGAAAGUCUGACGGAGCAACGCCGCGUGAGUGAUGAAGGUUUUCGGAUCGUAAAGCUCUGUUGUUAGGGAAGAACAAGUACCGUUCGAAUAGGGCGGUACCUUGACGGUACCUAACCAGAAAGCCACGGCUAACUACGUGCCAGCAGCCGCGGUAAUACGUAGGUGGCAAGCGUUGUCCGGAAUUAUUGGGCGUAAAGGGCUCGCAGGCGGUUUCUUAAGUCUGAUGUGAAAGCCCCCGGCUCAACCGGGGAGGGUCAUUGGAAACUGGGGAACUUGAGUGCAGAAGAUGAGAGUGGAAUUCCACGUGUAGCGGUGAAAUGCGUAGAGAUGUGGAUGAACUUCUUUGUCUAAUGCGACUCUCUGGUCUG